AAAUACCUUAGAGGAAAUCUCAAAUAUUACUGCUGCGUCCCCAUACCUCCCAACCUCAACCCCAACCCAACCCCAACCCCAAACCCAAGGCAAACCCACAACCCUCUCGCACAAAAAUCCACUCCUGUCUCUUGUCUCUUUCUCUCUCCAACCGCCUCAAUUUCUCUCUCUCUCUAUACGAUUCCACAUUCGCUGUAUAUCUCUCUAUUUUUCUCUCCGACUCGUAACAAUUCUGCAAUUCCUCCGAUGCCCUAGCCCCUCCGGCGCCGGUGACACACCUCCGGCGGGCCUCCGGCGAGGACGGCUUCAAAGUCUUUGGGCUUAGGAUUUAUCUAGGUGUUUUUUUUGUUGGUGUGGAAAAAAUCCCGCAAUUCGAUUCGAUCGUGAGGAGGGCCGGAGGCGCUCUUGAAUUUAGGGCUUUUGCGGCUCCCGCGAGCGCCAUGGCUCCGCCGCGUAGACGCGUAGCGAACAGCAAGGCUAAGGACAAGAGCCAGUUGAGUCUUGGUGAUCUUGUGCUCGCCAAGGUCAAGGGCUUCCCUGCUUGGCCUGCCAAGAUCAGCAGACCUGAAGACUGGAAGCAGUCACCUGAUCCUAAAAAGUACUUCGUUGAGUUCUUUGGAACACAAGAAAUAGGUUUUGUUGCCCCUGCGGAUAUUCAGUCAUUUACUAAUGAGGUCAAGAGUAAAUUGUCUGCUCGGUGUCAGGGCAAAACAGUUAAAUGCUUUGCUCAAGCUGUGAAGGAAAUCUGCGUGGCAUUUGAUGAGUUACAAAAGAAGAAAUUAAGUGGUUUUGGAGAUGAUCUUGAUAGAUCAGAUGUUGGGUGUGAGGCUCCCUCUGUUGAUGGGGUAGAGGAUGAUGGAGUAGAGGUUGACUUAAAGGUUGAUACUGGUAACUCGACUUACAAUGGAGAAAUAAUGAAUGAAGCUAUAAGUGAUUCUGGCUCGAAGUUGGAGCGCUGCUCAAAGAGACGAGGUGGAACUGAAAGUCAAGAUGUAAAGCCUCCUGUCUCCUCUCGUGCAAAUGAUAGUUUAUCUCUAAUUCUGCCUCCUGAGAAAAAUAAUAGAAUAUUUGACGGUGCAAAACCAAAGGAAGAGGUAUUAAUGACAUCCAGUCCCGAUAAUUCUUCUUAUCUAAGAGAAGUAACUGCUGGUAAAAGUGUAGAAGAUGUUUGCACUAAGACUCAUGGUGAGGAAAAGAAGUUGUUAGCAAAUGGUCACAAGUCGAAGAAGAUAGGUGCUCUGUCAAAGAAGAAAUCUGAGGGUGCAUUAGAAGUGCACAAAAUGAGUAUCUCUGCUGUAGCAUCGUUGAAGGAUGAAAUUGAUGGUCGUUCUAUUGAUCCCCCUGAAGCUACUGAGCGAUUGAAAGAUGGGAGGGCAUGCAAAAUUGACUCUGGCAGCAGCACGCGUGAAUUUUCUUCUAACCCGCUUAAAGCAGAAUCUGGUACCAAUUCUGGAAGAAAAUCAAAAGAUUUGCUAAACACUAAAAAACGUGUCAAGGUUGCUGAUAAUAUGCAGGACUCUGGUGUUGAUCCUGAUGAGCUGGCCAAGGGAAAACCUUCUGGAAAGGAAAAGAGGGCCCAACAUGGACAUGGAAAGCCUGGAGCAAAUGAUCUUUUACAUCCAGCGAAAAAAUCAAACCGUGUAGAUAUGGGGGACGAUGCCACUCAUGGAUCUCAUGCUAGAAGAAUAAAGAGUGUGUCUCCUAGACCUAAUGUUGUGGACAAAAAGGCAUUGAAAAAGCCUGAGUUUAAAGGGUCAACAUCAUGCGUGAAAGCAGAAAGUAAUCUUGCUUCAAGAGCCCAAGCUGGUAUUGUUGGAUCCAAUGUUUCUGGUGAUGAGGCUGUACUACCUGUAACAAAGCGCAGACGCCGAGCAAUGGAGGCUAUGUCGGACUCUGAUACUCUAACUACCGAUGAUAAAACAGAAAGAAAACCUCUUUUAGUGAAGAAUGAUGUGUCAUGUUCUAAUAAUUUUGGGGUUUCAGGAAGUCAACUGCACAAAAAACGGAGAGCUGUUUGCCUUUCUGAUGACGAAGAUGAACCCAAAACUCCAGUUCAUGGUGGAUCUGCCAGAAAUGUUAGUGCAUCUGCAUUUGUUUCAGAUGCUACCAAGAGCAGUGAUGCACAUAAUGAUAGUUGUAAGAAUGCUCAGCAGGUUGGAGUUUCUAUUGGAUUUGAGGAUGUCCAUUUAAAAGAAUCUUCCUCUGAAUUACGCAAUGAUUCUGUGUCACCGAGCGAAUGGCAAACUGAUGAGAAGAGGCCUGAAAAGGCAAUAGCUGCUCAUCUUUCCCAUUGUCCAGGGAAAGUAUACUCUGAGCAGUUGUCAGCCAAGGAGCAAUUCUUGUCCAAGGAGCAGUUGUCAUCCAAGGAGGCAAAAUCAGUGUUGAUUUCCCCUAGAAAGUCUCCUCAGUCAGGUCCCACUGAACCAGUGGCAGAACAGCAUAAGGUGGCCAAACCUCUGGUUAACGUUUGUGGUACUGGUCCUCAGAAGAAGGUUGAGGUUGGGUCUGCGAAGGCUUCGGUUGUUGUUUCUAAUAGCAUUAACUCUUCUCAGAAUCAAGCAACUAUUAAAAGAAACAGGCCUUCUUCAGGUGAAGGAUCCAAAUCCACUCCUAAAUCAAUCUCAAGGAUUGGUGAAUCUACUGUUUUGAUUGAGAGUUCAGUCGAGUAUAAUUCGUUGCCCAGUGAAAGAGUUGAAGCUGGUAGGGAAGAGAAAAGUAGUCUUUUGAUUGACUCUAAGACGCCAGAAUCUGUUAUGUCCAUGAAGCAUCUUAUUGCCGCAGCACAGGCAAAAAGGAGACAGGCUCACUCUCAAAAUUUCUCUCUUGGACUUUUUAAUUCCUCUUUUGUAUCUGCCUCUGAAGUCCAUGGAAGGAGCCCCAGUCCACCUGCAGUGCAGUCUCUUUUGACAGGUGCUAGCAAUGUGAUGCUGGCAGAUAUGCAAGAAUUUAAUCAUCACAUAAUUUUGGCUUCUCCAUCAAAUCAUGGUCACCAAUCUGCGUCGAGAAGUCAACUUGAUAUUGAAGAAGUUGAGGAGAGAAGAGUUAGUUCAGGGCAUAGGACUGCUGGAGGCUCUCUGAGUGGUGGUACUGAAGCAGCUGUGGCUCGUGAUGCUUUUGAAGGAAUGAUAGAGACUUUGUCAAGGACUAAAGAAAGUAUUGGACGUGCAACUCGUCUUGCUAUUGACUGUGCAAAGUAUGGCAUUGCCAAUGAGGUUGUGGAACUUCUUAUACGAAAGUUGGAAACUGAGCCUAGUUUUCAUCGUAAAGUUGACCUCUUCUUUCUUGUUGAUUCCAUUACCCAAUGCUCGCAUAGUCAGAAAGGCAUUGCUGGAGCUUCGUACAUUCCCACAGUUCAAGCAGCAUUGCCACGUCUUCUUGGUUCUGCUGCUCCACCUGGAGCUGUUGCUCGUGAAAAUCGUCGUCAGUGUCUAAAGGUUUUGCGGUUGUGGCUUGAGAGGAAAAUCUUACCUGAAUCUGUUCUUCGGCCUUUCAUGGAUGACAUUGGGGUUUCAAACGAUGAUACAGUUACUGGUCUUUCGCUUAGACGUCCAUCACGAGCAGAGCGAGCUGUAGAUGAUCCGUUGAGAGAAAUGGAAGGCAUGCUUGUUGAUGAAUAUGGCAGUAAUGCUACAUUUCAGCUGCCUGGUUUUUUAUCUUCUCAUGUAUUUGAAGAUGAGGAGGAAGAUUUUCCAAGCAGUUCAUUUAAGGAAGCUGGUGAUGCACCAGCAGGGGAUAUAACCCUUGCAUUGGGGGAGUCAGAAACAAGUACUGUUCCUCCAAAUGACAGGCGUCACUGCAUCUUGGAGGAUGUGGAUGGGGAGCUCGAAAUGGAAGAUGUUUCUGGACACAUGAGGGAUGAAAGACCAUUGUGUAUAAAUGGUUCUUUUGAAAUGGAUGCACAUCGGAGUUCAGAUAGGACCUUGGAAUCUGCUCCCAACGAUUCCCCUGAGCUGCCCCCACUACCAGAGGGUUCUCCACCAUUACCUCUUGAUUCCCCCCCUCCUCCACCGCCUUUGCCUCCUUCACCUCCACCACCUCCACCACCACCCCCAUUAUCUCCAUCACCACCACCGCCUCCACCACCUCCCCCGUCACAGCCACCACCUCCCCCAUCACAGCUAGCUCCUCCUCCUUUACCACCCUCUGGCCCUCCGCCAUCGAUGGUCCCCCAAGCCUCUUUACCAACUCAGCCUUCAUUGAUCUCCCAGCCAUUUUUACCACAUCAAUCAUCAGUACAGUCUUCGCCACAGUUGGCAUAUCAACCACCUGUACCUCAUGAAUAUUGCAGCGCAGCUAGUGGCAACCAACUUGUCCAAAUGGCUGGUCAUGGUGGUCAUAUUGACAAUGCAACGAAAAGUGAGAUGUUUCCACAGCAGUCAGUGUGUUUUGUUUCAACAGGAGUCCCCAGUUCUCGAGAACCAUCCGGAUUUAAUUCGUCAAGGCAAUUAGAAUACGGACACAAUGAUAUGUAUAUAAACCCACAAAUUUCUCAACCCAACCAACAAUUUCAACAAAGUGAUACCUCCUUUACACAAAGACCUUUACACCCUGCCCCACACCACAACACAUCCAGUCAUUUCUCAUAUACAAAGCCAACAAUUCAGCAACAUCCUCAGCAUCCAUAUCCCCACCCAUAUCCUUUACCACCCAUUCCGGAUGGCCAGAGGCGAUUUGUUUCUGAUGAACAAUGGAGGAUGCCCUCAAGUGAAUUUAAAACAGAUCAUCAACGUGGUGGGUGGAUAAAUGGAGGGAGAACUCCAAAUGGAGAGAGAACUCAUUCGGGACCAACCUAUGGCCAGGAAGGUUAUUUUUGGCCACCCCCCGAGAGGCCACAGGCAAAUAAUAUAGGUUUUCAGCGUCCUGCCCCUAAUAAUCUACCAGCUGGAGCUCCAAUAUCAGGUCAUGGUGUAUCCCAGAUGUUUCCAUGUAGACCAGAUAUUCCAGCCCUUAAUUGUUGGAGACCAGCUUGAUAGCCUCAAUUAAGAAUGUCAGUGAUACUUCGUCUUCUCUGCUUUGGGCGGCAAAACUAGCAAAGAAAAUUACAUAGCGCCUCAGAGUAAAUUCAGUUUACAGACAGUAUCCAACUACCACUUGAAGGCAGUGUAAAGAACUUGUGGAGGCUCUUGGCAGGACUGUAUAUUGUAAUUUUUCCUGACAAAUGUACCCCGGGAACAUUUGCUUCCAAGUGUAGGCCCAUGUUUCUGACAUGUACUGGUGAAGGUGGCUUUUAGUUUAGGAAGAAGCUGAGCAAGAGUUUCUUUGGUGAGGCCGAGGAGAUAGAGAAGAAUGCGAUGGAUGGGGCAGCUUAAUGAAUGUUGUUGCGAGGAUUGUUGUAUCUUUGGGAAUUGGGAUUUACUUUACAACCAAGAUGCAUGAAUUGGUAUCUGGUUACCUGGACAUGUUCUUAGCCCUUUGGAUUCUUGGACUGUAGGCGUGGGCACUGACCCCCUCAGGUCAGUAGUGUGAUAUUACCCGAGUUGACCUAUGCCUUAGCAGUACUGAACUGAACUGACACCAAUGGCUGUCGGUUGUUCAGUUGGUUGGUGAUGAAACCCACGAAAGGAAAAGAAACAGAAAAUCAAUAUUUUUUAUGAAAACCCUACAGAUUUGAACAAAAUGUCAGAUUUUGACUUGAGGGGGGCUGUGGUGGAGCCAAUCCUUUAUCUUCUAGAAAGCACAGAGUGAUAGUGAAGCAAGAACUGAAAAGAAGGGAAAAGAGGAAGCCAAAGCGAGGAAGGUGAUGGGGGACAAAUGGACCAAUGAUGAGCAAAAGAAGCUGGUGGAGUUUCAGAAAUUGGGGCAGGCGAAAGAACUGUGAAGGAGAAGAGAGGUGCAGCUUGUAGAGGAAAGGAUUAGGAUUUCUAAAAGAGGGAUUUUACAUUAAACCUAUAAAGUUUGGAUUGGGUUGGGGUCGUCAAACUAGUACCCUAUACGUGACACCCAACCCGACAGGUGUUAAAACAUUAAAAUUGCUACCAAUCCCUGCCCAACAUUUGUCUGGAAUUGAUCUUGUCAAUUCUGGGUCGGUUGAAUUUUUCAGGUCUGGUCAGGCAUUUGGGAAUUUUUCCAACCCCUAAUGCAUUGUCUCACGGAUCUUCUUGUAUUUUUGUCGAAUUUGGAACUCCUUUUCUUGUUUAUGUUAAUGGUGAUGGUGCACUAAAUUUGUG